CAGUUUCAAUCUGUUGGGGACAGAUGAAGUGGAUAUGUGAAUCAACUCCGCCUGCGGUUACAAUGCGGCCUUCCCCGGCGAUAACCUCUGUACAAGCGCCAAUGAUCAGAUUCGGAUGAACCCCGUCCAUCGUGUCCGGAUUGCCGGCUUUGCCGAUGCCCGCGAUCCGGCCGUCACGGAUGCCGAUAUCGGCUUUCACAAUGCCCCAAUGAUCAAUAAUUACCGCAUUGGUAAUGACCAGAUCCAGGGCGCCGUCCUUGCGGGUGGCGCGUGAAGAUUGCCCCAUCCCGUCCCG
rnacentral:sRNA from 1 species